GGCGAACGGGUGAGUAACACGUGGGUGAUCUGCCCUGCACUUUGGGAUAAUCCUGGGAAACUGGGUCUAAUACCAGAUAGGACCAUGCUUUGGAUGGUGUGGUGGAAAGUUUUUCGGUGUGGGAUGAGCUUGCGGCCUAUCAGCUUGUUGGUGGGGUAAUGGCCUACCAAGGCGUCGACGGGUAGCCGGCCUGAGAGGGUGUACGGCCACAUUGGGACUGAGAUACGGCCCAG
rnacentral:rRNA from 1 species